GAGGAGGAGGAGGAUGAUAAUCAUAAUGAUGACUUUAAUUUUUGACGAUGGGGUUGGUGAGGCGAACUAAAGGUCCGAGAAAAAAGUAAGUAUUAAGUAACAUGUUAAACUUUUAAUUUUAUUUAUUUAUUUAUUUAUUUUCUAAUUGCUUUUAAUUUAUUGAAAUUUAUUACUACUGCUUUAUUAGUUCAAAUUGCAAAUUAUGAUUAGAGUUUACCUAACAACCAAGUAACCAUGAUUACUAAAACACUUGUAUCACAAAAAAAUUAAGUUUAAUUAGUUUGUGUUUUCUUCAUUUGAGCUAUUUUCAUAUGUUAGGAAAUUUUAAGAAUAUCUUUCAUGCUCUCCAUGUGAUCACAUGGAUAUAGAAUAUUUGUAGCUAUUGAUUGAUAUGGUGAAAUAGGUAUUAUUAUAACAAUUUGAUGUGCCAUUUAUAUUAGGUUGUAUCAUAUUUACGAUGUUUUUACUUAGCUUCAAGAUACUUCUUAUAAUUUUAUGACAUGGAUGGUUCAUAUCGUUGGUAAAUAGGACAUUUAUUUGAAUGUUUAAGGAAUUUCACAGUUAUGUCUUGUUUCCAAUCUUUCUUGUUACAUGGGCAUUUCGUAUUAUAUUUAUAAUCUUUCUUGUUACACAUGAUCUGGUUUAUUUGUUUGUUGUUAUGUAGGCAAAGGAGAUUUGAAGGGGUGCAAAGCUUUUGGGCAGACGAAGAUGACUUGAUGUAUUUUUAGUUUAUUUACCUCCUUGGAUGGAUGAUGGACUUGUAUAACAUUUGAUUGUUGAACUUUAUAAUAUUUUCUAGAAGCUUGAACAAGAUAGAUCUUGUAAAAUUUGUUGAGAUCUUUAUAUUUGUUGAAUUAUGAGUUGAUCGAGUUCAAUUAUUACUCUUGUAUGUGAAAUUAAGAUGUGUUGAAUGUAUAUAAAUGUUAUUUGAA